rnacentral:rRNA from 1 species
AGAGUUUGAUCCUGGCUCAGAUUGAACGCUGGCGGCAGGCCUAACACAUGCAAGUCGAACGGAAACAUGUCUAGCUUGCUAGAUGAUGUCGAGUGGCGGACGGGUGAGUAAUGCUUGGGAACUUGCCUUUGCGAGGGGGAUAACAGUUGGAAACGACUGCUAAUACCGCAUAAUGUCUUCGGACCAAACGGGGCUUCGGCUCCGGUGCAAAGAGAGGCCCAAGUGAGAUUAGCUAGUUGGUGAGGUAAAGGCUCACCAAGGCAACGAUCUCUAGCUGUUCUGAGAGGAAGAUCAGCCACACUGGGACUGAGACACGGCCCAGACUCCUACGGGAGGCAGCAGUGGGGAAUAUUGCACAAUGGGGGAAACCCUGAUGCAGCCAUGCCGCGUGUGUGAAGAAGGCCUUCGGGUUGUAAAGCACUUUCAGUUGUGAGGAAAAGUUAGUAGUUAAUACCUGCUAGCCGUGACGUUAACAACAGAAGAAGCACCGGCUAACUCCGUGCCAGCAGCCGCGGUAAUACGGAGGGUGCGAGCGUUAAUCGAAAUUACUGGGCGUAAAGCGCACGCAGGCGGUUUGUUAAGCUAGAUGUGAAAGCCCCGGGCUCAACCUGGGGACGGUCAUUUAGAACUGGCAGACUAGAGUCUUGGAGAGGGGAGUGGAAUUCCAGGUGUAGCGGUGAAAUGCGUAGAUAUCUGGAGGAACAUCAGUGGCGAAGGCGACUCCCUGGCCAAAGACUGACGCUCAUGUGCGAAAGUGUGGGUAGCGAAACAGGAUUAGAUACCCUGGUUAGUCCACACCGUAAAACGCAGUCUACUAGCUGUUUGUGGCUUUAAGCCGUGAGUAGCGAAGCUAACGCGAUAGUAGCCGCCUGGGGAGUACGGGCCGCAAGGUUAAAACUCCAAUGAAUUGACGGGGGCCCGCCACAAGCGGUGGAGCAUGGUGUUUUAAUUCGAUGGCAACGCGAAAGAACCCUUAACCUACACUGGACAUGUUGAAGAAGUUACCUAAAAAAUAAGUUUCGUUGCCCUUCGGGCAACCUCCAAACCACAUGGUGCCUGCAUGGCUGUCGUUCAGCCUCCGGGUCCUUGGAGAUAGGUGGGGUUAAGGUUCACGCCACCAGACGCCAACCCUUGUAUUAGCGGCCCAGCCAUUCGAUUUGGCACUCAGGGUACUGCUGGUGACCAAUCCGUAAGAAAGGGUGGGGACACACACACUCUA